rnacentral:ncRNA from 1 species
UUUGACUCAACACGGGAAACCUCACCCAGCCCGGACACGGACAGGAUUGACAGAUUGAUAGCUCUUUCUCGAUUCCAUGGGUGGUGGUGCAUGGCCGUUCUUAGUUGGUGGAGCGAUUUGUCUGGUUAAUUCCGUGCUUGCUUCGAUGUAGUGAUUCACAUUUUUGCAUGUGCAUUAUGUACGUGCUGUGCUCUGCAUCGAUUUCCGAUCCCUAGCAACCCACCCCCAUUCAUCUGCAGGAGUGAGCUUUGCAACACUGAUCUAGAUACGGUGCC